GGUAUCAACAGAAAAUUCCAUGUAUCAUCAAAGUAUGGCAUCGCUGGCAGUGCAUUGAGAUGUGUAUCGAAUCGUCCUCAGUGCUGAGAUUCACCUCCCUAGUGCAGACAGGAAGUGACGUUGGUGAUGGAGAGUUGAGUUUUAGCUAGAUGAGCGGCACCAAGACUUGAUGCAGUUCUAACAGAAGAAUAGAAUUCUACACAUCCGGUGCAGUUUUAAGCUGAAACGGCCACAAGGUGGUAGAAGUGCAGUUCUUAACAGCUUGUAACUUUUGCAGGCUAGUUUUCUUGUUUUACUGUACUUUUAGAAUAUGCGGCAGACCAAUAAAACAAACAAGCUGCCAUCCGCACAUGGCCCCCGGGCUGCACAUUGCACACCCUGACAAACGUGAUGGUGUAGUAUUGUCUUGUUGAGCGUCACCUCCAGGCAUGACGUGGCCGACAUCCUGCAGCGUGAGCACCGACAGCUUCUCCUCCGAGUCCACUCGGAUCACGCCGUGACUCAGACCCUGCAUGGACAAGACGCCGCGGGCUGGGGGUGUGCUGCCCUCCCCCAGCGGCCUGGAGGAUGAAAUGCAUGUUAGAUGUGCCCAUGUCUACUUUAAAACCCUUACAGCGUUCUGGAGGUGGCUUUGUGGAAAAGGCCAAGCAUUUUUGGAAAGACUUAUUGUUAGAGUUAGAUGACUUGUUAGCAGACAUCAAACUUUAUGACUUGUUCGCUACUCUUAACCUCGGUAUGAAGUCUUUUGUUUUAUGAUGUUUAUGAGGUUUGAAGCCGCUUUAGAAUGCUUUACUAGCAAAUCAAAGCACUUCCUUACUGACACAUACUGUGUAGCACGGAUGAUGAAGGGGAGAAAGGUUAGCUGAUGUUAGAAUAACACAGUGAAAAAGUUUAGAAUUGUAUAAGUGCAGUAAGACAUUAUAUGUGUGUAUAAUUCAGUAAAUAAGGGGUGUCCAAAGUGUGACCCGGGAACCAUUUGCAGCACAGAGCUUGUUUUUUUAUCGUCACUUUCUAAAAAUACAAAUAAUUACAGAAAAAAAUGCAUACUACUACUACUACUACCUCUUUGGGCUUUUCCAAUCAGGGGUUGCCACAGCAAACCAAUCUCCUCCAUCCUACCCUCAUGUCCUCUUUCCCUUAGCCACUGAUCCUAUCCAUCCUGGUCACUCCCAAUGUGAACCUCAGCAUCCUCAUCUCUGCUACCUCCAGUUCUGCUUCCUGUCUUUUCCUCAGUAGCACUGUCUCUAGACCAAACAACAUGGCUGGUCUCCCCACAGUUUUGUAUACCUUUCCUUUCAUUUUAGCUGAAACUCUUCUAUCACACAUCCACUACUACUACUACUACUAUUACUAAUACUAAAAACAAUAAUACACUGUGCAGUGUUUCCCACAUGACGGCAACCUAUUGGUCGUGGUUGGCUGCAAGGAUUAAAUUAUCAACUAAUCUGCAUGGGAAUUAUUUGUUUUCAUUCAUUCAUUUUCUAUGGCUUAUCCUCACAAGGGUGGCGGGGGUGCUGGAGCCUAUCCCAGCUGACUUGGGGCGAGAGGCGGGGUCAACCCUGGUCUGGUGGCCAGCCAAUCACAGGGCACAUAUAGACAAACAACCAUUCACACUCACAUUCAUACCUAUGGACAAUUUGGAGUGGCCAAUUAACCUAGCAUGUUUUUGGAAUGUGGGAGGAAACCGGAGUACCCGGAGAAAACCCACGCAUGCACGGGGAGAACAUGCAAACUCCACACAGAGAUGGCCGAGGGUGGUUUUCAUUUUAUGAUAUUUAUUAUUUAUGUCACAAAGAAGACGGAGCCCCCUGAGAGUACUUUUAGGUUGCUACUUAGUUUGGACACCCCUACACCCCUACUACUAGGUAGAAACGUUUGCUUUGAUUAAAAACACUGACAACGACUGACACACAUCUGUGUGCGUGUGCGUGUGCAUGUGUGUGUGGGUGUGUGUGUACCUCCUGAUAGCAACAGUCAGCGCCUCGGGGGAACUGGCGCAGGGACAGAUGACCUCUGACUUCAAACCUUUGGUCUGGAAUACGUUGAGGAAGGCAUCACAUGACGAGAUGGACCCUGAGACAGGGACGAAAAGAUGGAGAGGAGGCGGGGCUUCAUCAGACACACCAUGCUGCUGGGAGGCCAAAGAUAAGUGUGUGUGUGUGUGUGUGUGUGUGUGUGUGUGUGUCUUACAAGGAUUGGCGCCGUCGGCCACCACUAACAUUCUCAGAGAGCUCAGGUUGAUGUCACGCUGGUCCCGAUGGGCCACCAGAGCCCAGUGCAUGUCACGUGACUUCACGCACGCCACCUUGGCUGCACACGUACAUCACAUGACACGCAAGUCGUGUCACAAGUCACUUGCUGCUUCAGGGCGGAGGAUUUUAUGACCAUAUUUCAACAAUGAUAAUAUCAAUAUAACGGAUUUAAUGAUCAUGGACAUGAUGGAAUUAGAAAGGAAAUUAAACUUAUACAAAAUUAAUGUUACGUUACAUUAUGUUACGUUACAUUACCUUUAAACUGACACACUUUCUGUAUCCAGGACAGAGGGUUGACUUUCAUGAGGGCGUAAGGAACGCUGAUGACAUGCAUCAUGUUCAUCACACUCUGAAGGACACACACAUUCAUUGGUUAGCGUAGCUCCUACACACAGCUGUGUGCGUGUGUGUGUGUCUCACAGUGAGGACAGCGUGCCAGAGUCCAACGUCCUUCUUGAAGUCCAGAACAUUGACGAUGGUUUCAGCUGGAUGAAGACAAAUACGGUGUGAGCGCCACAAGGGCCAAGAAAACCAGCUUGAUGUUUGCAUUACCUUCUGUGUACGUGCACGCCUGCGUGAUGGCCUGACAGUGACUCAGCAUGGCGACACGCGUCACCGUCACGCCCAGGACGCCGCCAUCUUUGCACGUCUUGUACUGACACACACAAACAUGACAUGAGUUGUUAUGUCUUUUUAUCCAAAGCUGGUAUGUUAAGAAGCAUAGUUACCAUGCCAGCUACAUUUGCACAGUCCCAUUAUAAUGUGUUAUUAUAUUGGCUACAAUGUAUUUGUUUGCAUUCUGUAUACCACUACUUGCUGAUUAUUCAGUUCUUCUUGGUCCAUGUUCCACUAUACAGUCGUCCCUCGCUAUAUUGCCGUUCAAACAUCACUCUUUUCAUUCAAAAAAUAAAUGACUGCUGUUCUGGGCUGCACAGUGGACGAGUGGUUAGCGCGCAGGCCUCACAGUUAGGAGACCAAGUUCAAUUCCACCCUCGGCCAUCUCUGUGUGGAGUCUGCAUGUUCUCCCCGUGCAUACGUGGGUUUUCUCCGGGUACUCCGGUUUCCUCCCACAUUCCAAAAACAUGCUAGGUUAAUUGGCCACUCCAAAUUGUCCGUAGGUAUGAAUGUGAGUGUGAAUGGUUGUUUGUCUAUAUGUGCCCUGUGAUUGGCUGGACACCAGUCCAGGGUGUAUCCCACCUCUCGCCCCAAGACAGCUGGGAUAGGCUCCAGCACCCCUGCAACCCUCGUGAGGAUAAGUGGUAGAAAAUUAAUGAAUGAACGAAUGACUGCUGUUCCGUAACUGUGGACUAUUCUGGCCACUAGGUGUCAGUAACGUUACAUUGAUUAGACAUGACAUUAUGUUAGAUUACCCUGAUUACCCUGGCAGGCAACCAGUCCAGCGUGUACCAGCGUGUAAGUCAGCUAAGAUAGGCUCCAGCAUACCCCGCCACCCUGAUAAAAAUGAAGCGGCAUAGAAAAUGGGAUGGCUUUCACGCUGCAUGUAGUUAGCCAUAGCAUGGCCAACAUGACAUAUUCUCCAAUUAUAUGGAAGUGCUAAGCUUUUGGCUUCUUGGUUUUUUUUUUUCUUAAACUGUGAGCUAACUAGUUAGCUUGGUAGCUUGCUAUGUUUAAAGUGAUGUCCAUCUCUCGUGUCCCUGCAGUGGUCCCAUUGCCUACACAAUGCCCCUGUGUUGUGCAAUGUAGUGUAAACAAAGAAUAAUAGGAGUGACCAUAGGGGUCUUGUCAUAUUUGAAAAGUCAGCGACAGUUUUUCUAUGCUCUAAAUACAAAAAGAACAUCCUAAGUCAUUUUUAUCUUUAGUUGUUCUUGUACUGUUAUUCCAUUACGGCCUCUGCAACGUCACACUUGUUGUGUUGACAAAUGCUAACAUUGAGUGAAAUUAAUGCAUCUAACACUCAGUAACCUCAGUGAAUGAAAUGCAACAGUUUGUGUUGAUUUUCAGCAAAGCGGGAGAGACUCCGCCAAGUCUAGAAGAAUCUUCGAUGGGAAAGAUAAAUGUCUUUUUGUGUGAUCGCCUUGCUGCUUCAAUUAUUCACACUGAGCAGGAGUUGUCCCUCGCGUUACUCAGAGAGUCUGCUAAUAUAAACACAAGCAGUAGGUAUACUGUGUUCUACCAGUAGGUAUACUGUGUUCUACCAGUAGGUAUACUGUGUUCUAUGGACUUUUCUCAACACAGCAAAGGUUUACAAAUGUUUCAUUCAUCUAUCUCUCAAAUAAAAACACUUAGUUCCUCCCUUGUAGCAAUGACAGGACCCAAACCACAACCAGUCCAUUCCAGGUCCUUGAUGUGACACGGUCAAGAUGGACGAACAAGUGGACGUCCAGCACGUGUGUUACCUCAAUGUAGGCCGUCUCCUGGUUGGCGUCCUUGACAUCAGGGAACCAGUCUCGGGGGGGCUUGGAUAGGUGUUUAGAAUCUGUGACAAUCCAGAGCAGCUUGGGCCAGCCUGGACAUGCAGGGACACGAAUCAAACACAAACACACGAGGCAGGUUGUUAGCGCACGCCAACGGACGCCGACACGGGUUUGAUGAUGCACUCAACUAAGGAUCGACCGACACAUCGGCCGGCCGAUAUAUCUGGCCGAUAUUUGUGUUUUUUCCUUGUAUCGGUAUUGGCCGAUACGCGCGUGGGUUCGCCGAUGUAUUUUUCCACCGCACGAUUUACAGUCAGGCAUUUUUAAGGCCCCCACAACACACGUAGUUUAAGAAAGCUGAAUCCUACUGUGUUCAGUGUUUACAUUUCAAUAAAUAUUUGUUUAAACUUGAGACCUGUAAUAUUUGUUAUCAUGGUUUCAUGUAAAUUGAAGGAUCAAAAGCAGUAUCGGCCACAAAUAUCGGC